GGCUAGGGGUCUAAUCGGAGCUGUAGCCACCGGCCCGUACCAGAGCCACAGCAACGCGGGAUCCGAGCCGCGUCUGCAACCUACACCACAGCUCACGGCAACGCCAGAUCCUUAACCCACUGAGCAAGGCCAGGGAUCGAUCCUGCAACCUCAUGGUUCCUAGUCGGAUUCAUUAACCACUGCGCCACGACGGAACUCCUCAAUUGUAUAUAAUUCUUUAUAGACUUUAUUGUGUUUGAGUGACCAAUAUUUGGGGGAGGGUUGCAUCUAUGUUCAUGGGAGGUACUGGUCAGGUACCUUCCUGGAAGGUCUUUGUCUGGUUUUGGUAUCAGGGUAAUGCUGGCCUUGUAGACUGAGUUAAAAACUAAGUAUCCCCCCUGCUCUGUCUUCUAAAGGAGGUAGUAGACAGUUGGUAUAUUUUCUUCUUUAAACGUUUGGUAGAAUUCAGUGGUGAACUCACCUGGGCCUGGAACUUUGUGUUUUAGAAGAUGAUAGGUUAUUAAUUCCCUUCCUUCCUCCCUCCUUUCCUUUCUUCUCCUUCCCCCCCUCCCCACUCCUUCUCUAUCCUUGGCAUAUGGAAGUUCCUGGGCCAGGAGUUAAAUCCUAGUCUGAGCUGCAGAUAGUGGAAAUUCCGGGGAUUGAACCCACAUCCUUACAGAGACAAUGUCGGGUCCUUAACCCACUGAGCCACAAUGGGAACUCCGGAGUUUUAGCUAUGUCCUUACUGAUUUUCUGCCUGUUAGCACUGUCCGUAUUUGAGAGAAGGGUAUUGAAGUCUCCAAAUAUGGUAUUGAAGUAAUUAUUUCUCCUUGCGGUUCUAUCCAUUUUUGUCUCGUGCAAAAGAGAUGUUUUGUUGUUAAGUACAUACAUAUUAAGAAUGUUUACAUCUUAGACAAUUGACCUCUUUAUCAUUAUGUGAUGCUUUUCUUUAUCCAUGAUACUUUUCUUACUUUGAAAUUGCUUUGUCUGAAAUUAAUGUGGCUGUUUCUGCUUUCUUUUGAUUUCUUUUGAUUGCAUUUUUCUCCAUUCACUUACUUCUAAUCUCUGUGUCUUUAUAUUUAAAGUGGGUUUCUUGUAGAUGGUAUGUAAGUCAGAUCAUGGUUUUGGAUCCACUCUGACAAUCUGUGUUGCAGUUGGUACAUUUAGACCAUUGAUAUUUGAAGUGAUUAUUGACAUAGUUGGAUCAAUAUCUACCAUUUUGUUACUGUUUUCUGUUUGUUGCCUUUCUUUGUUCCUGUUUGUGUCUUUCAAUUUUUCUGGCUUUUAUGGUUUUAGUUGAGCUUUUUUUAAUUUUUAUUUUUAAAAAUUACUCAAUGGAUUUUAUUACAUUUAUAGUUGUACAACUAUCAUUACAACCGAAUGUUAUAGCAUUUCCAUCCCUCAGUGCAUCCCCCCACCUGCAACCUGUCUCCUUUGGAAACCAUAAGUUUUUCAAAGUCUGUGAGUUGGUAUCUGUUCUGCAAAGAAGUUCAUUGUUGUGUCCUUUUUUUAGAUUCCACAUGUAAGUGAUAGCAUUUGAUGUUGGUGUCUCAUUGACUGACUGACUUCACUUAGCAUGAUAAUUUCUAGGUCCAUCCAUGUUGCUGCAAAUGCCGUUACUUCUUUGCUUCUAAUGACUGAGUAAUAUUCCAUUUUGUGUAUGUACCACAUCUUCACCCACUCCUCUGUUGACGGACAUUUAGGUUGUUUCUAUGUCUUGGCUAUAGUGUGUAGUGCUGCAAUGAACAUUGGAGUACAUGUGUCUUUUCAAGUCAUGGUUUUCUCUGGGUAGAUGCCCAGGAGUGGGAUUAGUUGACUUUUUUUUUUUUUUUUUUUGUCUUUUUAGGGUUGCACUCGAGGCAUGUGGAAAUUCCCAGGCUAGGGGUCUAUCAGAGCCACAGCUGCCAGCCUACACCACAGCCACAGCAACGCCAGAUCCGAGCCACGUCUGCAACCUACAGCACAACUCAUGGCAAUGCCAGAUCCUUGACCCACUGAGUGAGGCCAGGGAUGGAACCUUCGUGGUUCCUAGUCUGGAUUCCGUCACUACAGGAACUUCAGUUGAGCAUUUUUUUUUAAUGAUUCUAUUUUCUUGCCUUUCUCAGCAUACCAGUUUUCUUUGCCUUUUUUUAGUAGUUGCCCUAGAGUUUGCAGUAUACAUUUAUAAUGAAUCCAAGUCCAUUUUCAAAUAAUAUUAUGCUACUUUGUGGUUAGUGUGCAUACCUUAUAAUAAUAAAAUAAUCCUAGUAAUCCUCCCUUCUGUCCCUUUUAUCAUUGCUGUUGCUCAUUUCAUAUAUAGAAUAGAUAUAAGCAUACAUAAGCAUAUAAAAGCAUAUAUAUAUACACACAUUCAUGAUAUAUGUAUAUAAGCGUACAUAAUUGAAUAUAUUGUUGUUUUGAAUAAAAUAUCUUCAGGUCAGUUAAGAAUAAGAAAAAAAAAUUAUUUGCUCUUUUGUUCCUUCUUUGAUUCUAUUCCUUUUAUGUAGAUCCGAAAUUCUGACCUAUAUUAUUUUCCUGCUCUUUAAAGAGCUUAUUUUGACACUCCUUGCAGGCAGGUCUACUGACGACAAAUUCCCUCAUGCUUUGUCUGGCAAAGUAUUUCUCCUUUACUUUUGAAAGAGAAUUUCACAGGAAACAGUUCUAGGUUGAGGUUUUUUCUCUCAACACUUUAUUUGUUUAUUUAUUUAUUUAUUUAGUCUUUUUGCCUUUUCUAGGCCGCUCCCGCCCUAGAAGGUUUCAAGGCUAGGGGAGCUAUAGCCGCCAGCCUACACCACAGCCACAGCAACACAGGAUCCAGCCGUGUCUGUGACCUACACCACAGCUCACAGCAAUGCCAGAUCCUUAACCCACUGAGCGACGCCAGGGAUCAACCCGCAACCUCAUGGUUCCUAGUCGGAUUCGUUAACCACGUGCCAUGAUGGGAACGCCCUCUCUCAACACUUUAAAUUUCACUCUACUCUUAUCUGAGAAGUCAAAUAUAAUUGUCUUUGUUCCUCUGUAGAUGAGGUGUCUCCUCUACCCCUGGCUUUUUUCAAGAUUUUUCCUUUAUCUUUGUUUUUUUGCAAUUUGAAAAUGAUAUGCUGAGAUGUAGUUUGUUUGCUUGUUUGUUUGUUUUACCCUGCUUGGUGUUCUCUGAGAUUCCUGGACUGUAGUUUGGUGUCUGACAUUAAUUUGGGGAAAUUCUCAGUUGCUGCAACUGUUCCUUGUAUUUCUUUUCUAUGUUUAUUGGGGUUUUUUAUUUUCUGUUUACUAGACCAACUAUUUUCUCACUUCCAGUCUUACAGAACCUUUUCUCAUUCUAGAUUUUUUUGCAUCUUCAUGCCUUGUGUUCUGAUAUUUCACAGUGAUCUUCAUCGUUCAGUUUAUAAGAUGUUCUUAUUCAGUUAUUUCAUCAUAGGUCUUCAUUGUUCAGUUUAUAAGAUGUUCUUAUUCAGUUAUUUCAUCAUAGGUCUUCAUGUUCAGUUUAUAAGAUGUUCUUAUUCAGUUAUUUCUCACACUCAUCAUUCAUUCUAGAAUUUCUCUUUCUGGUGGUCUUCCUAGAUUGAUUCUCUGUGCAUCCUUGCUUGACUAUUUUCCUUAUCUGUUUUACUCUUCUUUCCAGAUUUCAUUGAUUCCGUUUCUCAGAGCUCUUUGUCUUUUGACUUCUUUAUCUAAAUAUUGGUGUAUGUCUUGUGGUUGAAACCUGUGACAUAUCUGCCAGCCAUUUGGGUCACUCUUCUAUCUGGCCGCCAAGGACAUCCCCUGUACUCCCGAAUUUUUAGGCUUUAAUGUUUACUGAUGCCUGUAAUGGAAUCGACUACUUAAGUUGAAAAGGCUUAUGCUUUCUUACAACAUAAUGGUUUCAUUAGAAUUUCUAAAGGUUUUCGUCCAAGCUCAUGACACUUGACAUUUCUUUAAAACGUUUAUAAUCAUUGAUUCGACCCAGUUCUCAUGUGGUUCCCGUGAUUUCACUUCAUUCCCAUCACUUUUAAGACAAUUCCCCUUAUUUAGAGUCAAUUGAGUAGAGAUACCCCUCACCCGAGCUUGGUCAGUCAGAUGUCUCCCAGGAAUUUUGGAACUCCACCUGAGAUUCUGGGCUAUGCCCAUUGAACUCAUGUGCCAUGCCUAAGACUAUGGUCUUGAUGUGGUCAUGGUCUUGGAAAAACCAGAACGUAACGAAAGUGAGUGAGAAGGUGUCAGAAUCAGGCAGGAAGAGAGGACAGCCCAGUUUCCUGUGGGCUGUGCGUGCUUCCCUGGCUUUGAGUUCUGGGAGGCACUCCAUCUGGCGUAUGUGCCCAUUUAUCUAAGAGCGCUCUACUCCGGCUCCUCUCCAGAAACAUUCUAUCCCUAUUGCAUGGCUGAAAGAAGAGCACCCAAGUCAGAAGAUUAGUAUCUUUGCAAGUUGUUAGGACUCUGACCAUAAUCAUUCAUCUGUGACACAGCAGUAAGACUCUCUGGCUCAAAAGGUGGCAG
rnacentral:lncRNA from 1 species